rnacentral:rRNA from 1 species
GACGAACGCUGGCGGCGUGCUUAACACAUGCAAGUCGAACGGAAAGGCACUGCUUUUGUGGGGUGCUCGAGUGGCGAACGGGUGAGUAACACGUGAGUAACCUGCCCUUGUCUUUGGAUAACUAUAGGAAACGGGGGCUAAUACCAGUUAGGAAUUCCUCCUGCGGGGGGGGGCUUGGGAAGUUGGGGCGGUUGGGGAUGGACUGGCGGGUUAUCGGCUUGGUGGGUGGGUAGUGGUAUGGCAAGGCUAUGGCAGGUAGCCGGCCUGAGAGGGUGACCGGGCACAAUGGGACUGCGAGACGGCCCAGUGUGCAACGGGGGGCAGCAGUGGGGAAUAUUGCACAAUGGGCGGAAGCCUGAUGCAGCGGCGCCGCGUGCGGGAUGACGGCCUUCGGGUUGUAAACCGCUUUAGCCUGUGACGAAGCGUGAGUGACGGUAAUGGGUGAAGAAGCACCGGCUAACUACGUG